rnacentral:rRNA from 1 species
GGGUAGUUUGACUGGGGCGGUCUCCUCCCAAAGAGUAACGGAGGAGCACGAAGGUGGGCUAAUCACGGUUGGACAUCGUGAGGUUAGUGCAAUGGCAUAAGCCCGCUUAACUGCGAGAAUGACGGUUCGAGCAGGUGCGAAAGCAGGUCAUAGUGAUCCGGUGGUUCUGUAUGGAAGGGCCAUCGCUCAACGGAUAAAAGGUACUCCGGGGAUAACAGGCUGAUACCGCCCAAGAGUUCAUAUCGACGGCGGUGUUUGGCACCUCGAUGUCGGCUCAUCACAUCCUGGGGCUGAAGUCGGUCCCAAGGGUAUGGCUGUUCGCCAUUUAAAGUGGUACGCGAGCUGGGUUUAGAACGUCGUGAGACAGUUCGGUCCCUAUCUGCCGUGGGCGUUGGAAGAUUGAAGGGGGCUGCUCCUAGUACGAGAGGACCGGAGUGGACGAACCUCUGGUGUUCGGGUUGUGUCGCCAGACGCAUUGCCCGGUAGCUAAGUUCGGAAUUGAUAAGCGCUGAAAGCAUCUAAGCGCGAAGCGAGCCCUGAGAUGAGU